GACAGGACCGGGCGGGUCACGUAGCCGGGUUUCUCGCACCGUCGGAUCGCGAUCGGACGGCUGGGAUCAGUGUGGGAGGGGAGCAUGGCCCCUGGCGGAAAAUAAAAAGCGCCCCGUGCGGUGGUCUUUGUUUUCUGCUCCUUCGUCGGUCGGUCCGUCCGUCCGUCGUCGCCGCUCCGCCACACACGACGGCGCCGCCCGCUGCCCGCCGGCGGUUCCCCGUGACGCGGCCUCCGAAGCUCUAGGAUCUUGCAGGGGCUGCCUCGUCCUAAUCCCCGCACCGGCCUCCUCAUCAUCCCCACUUCAGGCCACAGGAUGCAGCAGGGGCUUCAGCAACAGGUAAAUCGCCGCUUCAGGGGCGACGGCCGGCAAGGCCAGGCACUGGUCGCCGGCAGGUACUAUCAUAUUCCGGCCAGUUCUGCUCCUGGUGGAUGAAUCUGUUGGCCCUGUAUUAACCUUCUUGUUAGUGCCUAAGAUGUCAAACUGAUGGCUAACCUACCAGGUUUGCAGUGUCAAGCUUCUAUUUUUAUGUCUAGAGAAGAUAAAUUCGGCUUUCACAUCAUAUGUUUAGAGUAUGCAAGUAAAUUUAUGAUGACAACAACAUGCCUGCUUCCAAUUUGAUCUCACAACAAGUUUGCAACUGUUAUAGUUUUGCAAAGCUGGCAUCCAUGAAUUUUUCAGAGGACUUUGAAUAUUACUAGUAAUGAGCAUUAUAAAAAUAUUUCUGCGUUCCUCACUGCAGGGACAAUCCAUUAAUCACUAUGUUUUUCUGACCAAUUUCAUAAUCUAUGGAUUCAAUCACCUGUGCUGGCACUGGUUCUUCCAAGUAGUUUUCUUUGUGCCCUACUUUCUACUUGUUAACACUGAUAUAAUUGCAAGAAUACCAUGGCAAAGACAACAAGUGCUAAACAAUGUGCUUGAUCAGUAUACUACUUUCUCCUUUGUUUAUGGGCAAUUGGCAGUGAAGCUACAGAAGGCAAUUUGCUCAGAUGAAGAAUAUUGGUAUGCCUUAUUCAGGAAACAUAUUUCCUAAAUGUGCUAUUUACAAGAAAUUCUAACAUAGGACAUCCACAACAUAUUCUAGGAUCUUCCAUAUGUGUCAUGGACUAACUCCUGGGUUCUGGUUCUACAGUAUGACAGUAACCACCCAAUCACUCUGCCAAACUGCCAUAUAUGUGUCUGAUACCUGGGGAUACACGCAUUGGGGAUAUUGGGAAACUUUGUCUUCCAUUUUUCCCCCCUCAUAUCACUCUUUGAUACCUCCCGAUGUUUCGUGGUUCAAUGCCUCCUGAAGUGCUCCCCAAAAAAUCUUGAAGUGGAAAAACUUUUAGAAGAAAUUAUAAUCUAGCACAUCCACAAUACAUUCUAGGACCUCCCCUUUGUGUCGUGGACUAACUUCUAGCUUCUGGUUCUACAAUAUGACAGUAACUAUCCACGGGGAUACGCUAUUCUGCCCACCACUUUGCCAAACUGCCAUAUGUGUGUUCGAUACCUGGAGAUACGGGCAUCAAAGAGUAUUGGAGAACUUUGACUUUCAAAAUUAAGAAAUCAUGAUAUCCCACCAUUACUCUUCAACGCUUCCGACACUUCAUGGUUUAGAACCCCCUGAAGUUCCCUCCCCAUAAAAAGAUUUGAAUCUAACCCCACGAAAGCCAUUAGAUCUAUAACUACAAACGCUAGCAAACCUUAUCAAUCUCAGAUCUAACCUGGGAACCCUCGACGCUGCCCUUGGUGAAUCCUUGACAUCGCUUCCUUGGUCCAUUGGGCCAUGCCUGCGCCAUACGGCAGCAAUGGCGCUCCAACCCGGCAAGCCAUGAGGAAGAGGUGGCUUCGCUUGCCUCAGCGGAAGGAGCGGCUUGGUUACUCAUCAGCCGGCGGUGCCGAGAUGCACAAGGAACACCGAAUCGAUGCGCCAGGCCGCCGGCGUAGGAGGAUGGCAACCCUUUUGGUGGAAGAGGGCAUCAUGGAACUGCUCUUGCGGAGGCGCUGGCCUGGCGGCGCUGCAUCCGCCCCAUGGGUGGUGGCUGCCAAGCGCAAGGGCAGCCCUAGGUUUCUUUGCGUGUAGCCGCGUUUGCUGCGAGCAUAUAGGCCUAUAUGGGCCCAGCCAGCUGUCCCUCACCCUUUCCAUUUUCUCUUGGGCCAAAUAUGAAUACGAAUAUUAUUUGGAACAUAAUUAAGAAUAUCCGGUGUGUUUUGUGAAGAAACGGUUAGGGAGUAGGACGAAUAUGCCCUUCUAUUGUAAUAUCCAAUUUAGAGUAUUAGGAGACUAGAUAUACAGUUUUUAUUCAGGCAGUAACAUUUUUCCAUACUCAUACUUGUCUUUGUUGCCAUACCGGCAUGUCAGCACUCACCACCCAUAUCGUGUAAGCUUAGGAGAUAUGCAAGCAGACUUGUCUUAGGCUCUGGUAGUAUCCUUGAGAAGUUAUCAAAUUCUAUUAAGCACUCAGCCCCAGCUUCAAUAGCUCCCUUUCACAUCAACUUCUGAUAAUGUGUGUUAUGCUUCAGCGUGUUUAGUAUACAACUGAACUAUCAGAAUAAAAAAAGUGUUGACGAAAUGCAUACGAUUCACAUGGCUAUGAGUCAAGUUCAUCUAGAGGUUGAGUACCAUGCAUCCAACAACGCAAUGGCUUAGGUCAUUGGACAUAGAAAUGAUCAGGUAGGUUUUGUGUUAUUCACCUUUUUUUGGAGUUGAAUUCUUGCUUCUCGUUUUACAAUGUAACUCAGCAACUCAAAAGGUAGAGUAUUUGCUUGUGUUUAUUACUGUUCGGCGCACCUGUUUAACGUCCAGGACUUCCUCGGUUUGAGUCUCCAAAUUGUCAGACAAACCAUAUUUUAUUAGUCAAUUUGGGCUUUCAUGCAGCUCUUUUGCACUCUCUUUGCUCUUCGUUGAGUGCAUUCCUUUUAUUUACUUGAGUUAUGAUGUAUUGUUUCUCCUCUACAAAGACCAAUAUGGAACGUCAAUAAGAAUGUUCCUUCUGGGAGGCAGUUAUUGAAGCAGCACAAAGUUUGUGGAGGAGCAACUCCACCUUGCUGCUACAAUGUGUACAGCACAAGUGUUGAAGGAACAGCUUCAACGUGCUGCGCUAGAUAUCGCUCUAGAGGCGAAUGUAGGUUGAUAGGGCAGCAAGAGUUCAAUCCAGAACUCCUAGGGCACAAGAUCUACUCCAAGAUCUUAGAUAAGAACAACAAGUUCUAUUAUAGGUAGGGGUACAUAGUCUGCCUCCAAAGUAGAGGCGAGGACCUCUAUUUAUAGGGCUGUGGGAAGCCUUCACAUACUUCUACUUAUAGCUGGAAUACUCUAGAAAACAUUAUGUAAGUUUCACCAUUAUACUCAUAGCUACUCACAACUAGAAGACUCUACAAAACAGUAGGUAGGAUAGAAAAGAAAAGGAAAGAAAUACUACACUAGAGUGGAAGCAUCUAGAAGUAGCCAAACAGAUCUGGCAUGUGUUUUCUUUCUUCUCAUCUAGUGUUCCUCAUCAUUCUCCCCUGGUUGUUUGGAACUCGCCCUCGAGUUAUCUUCAUAGAGCGCUUCUUCUGAAUGGUAGAGAGUCAAGUCCGCAACAUUGAAAGUGUUGGAGAUACCCAUGUCACUUGGAAGAUCUAUCACAUAAGCAUUAUCAUUUAUCUUCCUCAUGAUAGAGAAGGGCCCAUACCUUCGCUGCCUAAGUUUCCCUUUAACACCUAAAGGCAGCCUCUCUUUUCGGAGGUAGACCAUCACCUUAUCACCGACUUGGAAUGAUUUUGGCCUCUUUUUGCAAUCAGCAAGUUGUUUAUAUUUCUGAUUUUGUGCUUCCAAAGCGCCGCGAAUCUCUUCAAAUAACUCGGUGUAAUUAUCAGCAAAGGACAAUGCUGAUUUUGAGUUUCCCCUUGAUGGCAGCUUCACCAGGUCCACCACAUGUGUUGGAACUUUAGUGUAGACAAUGGAAAAAGGGCUCCUUCCUGUGGAUCUAUGCUUGGAGUUAUUGUAGGAGAACUCUGCAAGAGAUAAAGCCAAAUCCCAUUGCCCCUUUCUUUCUCCACAAAUGCAACGGAUCAGAUUACCCAAAAACUUGUUCACCACUUCUGUUUGUCCAUCUAUUUGUGGAUGAGCAGUGCUAGAAAAUUUCAAUUCAGUGUUGAAUUGCUUCCACAAAGUGAGCCAAGAUGCAGCAAGAAACUUGCUAUCACGGUCUGGGACAAUGGACCUUGGAACUCCAUGAAGUCUGACCACUUCUCGAAAGAAUAGGUUGUCUUGCGGCAUGGGAUGAAAUGAGCCAUCUUAGAGAAUCUAUCCACGACCACAAAUACAGCAUCACUUCCUCGUCUUGUUCUUGGCAAGCCCAAGACGAAGUCCAUAGAAAUGUCCUCCCAUGGAGCAACAGGAACAGGCAAAGGCAUGUAUAACCCUGUGUUCUGGACUUGGCCUUUGCAGGUCUGACAUACGGGGCACCGUUGAACGAACUUUCCAGCAUCUCUCUUUAGUUGUGGCCAAAAGUAGCGAGCUUCCAGGUUAGCGAUAGUCUUGUCCCGUCCAACAUGGCCACUAAGAUCACUUGAAUGGAGCUCUCUAACCAGCUUGUCACGUAGAGAACUUCUUGGAAUGCACAAACGAUCAUUUUUGAAGAGAUAUCCAUCUUGCAUCAAAUAGUCAUCACCUAAUGGUUGGCCCCUUGCGUGCUUUACCCAAACAUGGCCAAAGUCUUCGUCACCCUCAUACAACUCCUUUAUUUGACCCAUGCCCGGAAGUUCGGCUUCAAAAGAAGUCAAGAGGCAUGCACGACGACUCAAAGCAUCGGCCACUCUGUUAGUUAUUCCAGAUUUAUGCACGAUGAGAUAGUUAAACCUCUCAAGAUAUGCUGCCCAUCUUGCUAGCAUGCGGUCAACAUGCUUUUGAUUUCUAAAAUGCUUCAAGGAUUGAUGGUCGCUAUAAACAAUGAACUCUUUAGGCAGCAAAUAGACUUCCCAAGUUUUCAACGCUCUGAAAACGGCGUAUAAUUCUUGCUGAUGGGUACUCCAUUUCUGUCUAGCUUCACUUAACUUCUCACUAAAGAAAGCAAUGGGCUUCAUUUUUUGAGAUAGGACAGCUCCAAUGCCUACUCCACUUGCAUCACACUCCAACUCAAAAGUCUUGUUGAAAUCAGGUAGUACCAAGACAGGAGCUUGUGAUAGCUUUUGUUUAAUCUCAUUGAAGCUAGCUUCAGCUGCUUCUGCCCAUUGGAACUUUCCUUUCUUCAAACACUCGGUAAUUGGUGCCAUGAUAGUGCUGAAAUUCUUAACAAAUCGCCUAUAGAAAGUUGCAAGGCCAUGAAAGCUUCUUACCUCAGAAAUGGUCUUAGGAGUUGGCCAUUCUUGGAUUGCUUCAACCUUAGAAUCAUCAACACGAAUGCCGUCACAUGUUAUGACGAAUCCUAGGAAAAGAAGUUGUGUUUGCAGGAAAACACAUUUCUUCAAGUUGACGUAGAGCUCAUUUUCCCUUAGUACUUCUAGCACCUUCCGAAUGUGAUCAAAGUGUUCAUCCUCAUCCUUGCUAUAGAUCAAGAUGUCAUCGAAAUAGACCACAACAAAGUGGGAUAAGAAGGGUCUAAGGACUUGAUUCAUUAAGUGCAUAAAGGUACUUGGUGCAUUUGAGAGUCCAAAUGGCAUGACUAGCCAUUCAAACAACCCUUCCUUUGUCUUGAAGGCGGUCUUCCAUUCAUCCCCGGGUCUUAUACGGAUUUGAUGAUAUCCACUUCUUAAAUCUAGCUUUGUGAACACUCUUGCUCCACUAAGCUGAUCCAACAUAUCAUCCAGACGGGGAAUAGGGAAUCUAUACCUUACGGUGAUCUUGUUAACGGCUCUACUGUCCGUACACAUGCGCCAAGAUCCAUCUUUCUUUGGCGCGAGUAGGGCUGGUACAGCACAUGGGCUAAUACUUUCUCGAAUGUGCCCCUUUUGCAACAAUUCCUCCACUUUCUCCUUCAAUAUACCAUGCUCCUUUGGGCUCAUUCGAUAGUGUGGAAGAUUAGGAAGACUUGCUCCCGGAAUUAAGUCAAUUCUAUGUUGAAUUCCUCUCAUCGGUGGCAAGCCAUGUGGCUCCCCAAGUAUGUUCUGAAAUUCUGCCAAUAAACCACGUACCUUUGCUGGAAUUUCAACAGUCAGGUGCUCUUCUCCCUUUACAACAAGUGCAGCACACAAAUCUGCCUCCUUCAAGUCUUCCAUAAACUCAUGAGAGGUAUGGGAGAUAGUUAACAUAGUUUUCCCCUCCUCCUUAGAGGUAUUACCUUCGGGUUUGUUUGGUAAGAUAAUGAUCCUUCUUUUGUUCCAAACGAAAGAGUAAGAAUUUUCCUUGCCCUUGUGUGUAGUAUCCACAUCAAAUUGCCAAGGCCUCCCAAGAAGAACAUGGCUGGCAUCCAUGUCAACCACAUCACACAACACAUUUGAGCGAUAAUGCUUACCCAAAGAAAGUGGCAGGUUGCAUUGUUUGGUGAUCCUCAUAUUCACUCCUUUCUUGAUCCAUCCAAUAGUGUAGGGAUUUGGAUGAUCAUGGGUUUCAAGCUUUAAAUGGUCCACCAACUUCUGGGAGAUAAGAUUCUCGCAGCUGCAACUAUCAAUCACUAGUUUGCAUACCUUGCCAUUCAUCGUGCAUUUGCUCUCAAAUAUUUUCUUCCGUUGUGUGUCAUCGAGUUGUGGUGUGGAACAUAGGACACGCUGGAUCACACAUACCACCUCUUCACCUUCUUCUUGACAAACCUCUUGUCCGUCUACAUCUUCAGAUUCGUAUUCUUCCUCAUCGCUUUCACCAUCAUGGAUAGUCGUGUUAACAAAUUUCCUUAGUGGGCAGCCGCUGGAUAUGUGUCCCUCUUUACCACAUUUAUAGCACUUUGGGCCUUCAUUUGCCUUACCCUUGCCUCUAGUUUGCUUCGAGAUGGGCUGUUUUGUCUUUGGUGGAGUGGUCUUUUCUUCCACUCUAUUAGGUUGGCUCCUAGAUGAGCCUUCGGUAUGAGGAUAUGGAGGAUAUGGAGCCUUAGUUGUCUUUCUCAUCCUCACAAACCUCUCGGCCUUUAAGGCUAGAGCUUGUGCUUGAUCAACGGACCAGAUUUGUUGCAUCAUCAAUCGAUCUUGAAUAGCAUCAUUGAGACCAUUGAUGUACCUUGCAACUUGUUGCUCUUCAGUUUCAGCAAGGUUGCACCUCACUUGUAGCCUUAGAAACUCCUCCGUGUAAUCUGAAACAGUCCUAUUUCCUUGAGCACAAUUUUGAAAUUGGAUAAAUAGGAUCUGGUCAUAAUUAGUGGGCAAAAAUCUCCCUUUCAAGAGGCCUUUCAUUUGUCGCCAAGUUCUAACACGAGGUUCUCCUCUCAGCCUGCGCUCCUCUUGAACGCGAUGCCACCAUGCACCGGCUCCUUCUUUCAGUUUGUAUGCGACCAAAGGAACUCUACGAUCUUCCGGAACCUCCAUGACCUCAAAGAAAGUCUCCACUUCAUAUAACCAAUCCAGGCACCCUUCAAUGUCAACAUUUCCAUUAAAACUUGGGAUCUCAGCUUUCACCUUGUAUGUAUCUCUUGCAUAUGUAGGGUUGGGUGCUCUCCGAUAUGCGUAGAGAUUUGGCUCUUCAAGGGCAUCAUCAUAUUCUUCACCUUCAGAAGCCUCAACAUAAAUUGGCCUUCUUGAAGCACGUUGAACAACAUGUUGUCGUGGCGGUCUUGCUCCAAGAUUACCUCUCCUUCUUCCUUGAUGAACAUCUUCCUCUUCUUUAGAUGAAUCUCCUUCAUUGGUAGCAGGGGGGACACCCUUUCUUAUCAUCUCAACCAGCUGGUCAAAUCUCCUAUUAAGAUCUUCACGCAGCUCUUUGAUUUGUUGUUCAGCAGCAUCCAUCCUCUUCUCCAAUUGCUCCAUUGCUUGCUGCAACUUACUCUCGAAGAGGACAGCAAGAACUAGUAUGGGUCAACGAGGCUCUGAUACCACCUGAAGCAGCACAAAGUUUGUGGAGGAGCAACUCCACCUUGCUGCUACAAUGUGUACAGCACAAGUGUUGAAGGAACAGCUUCAACGUGCUGCGCUAGAUAUCGCUCUAGAGGCGAAUGUAGGUUGAUAGGGCAGCAAGAGUUUAAUCCAGAAUUCCUAGGGCACAAGAUCUACUCCAAGAUCUUAGAUAAGAACAACAAGUUCUAUUAUAGGUAGGGGUACAUAGUCUGCCUCCAAAGUAGAGGCGAGGACCUCUGUUUAUAGGGCUGUGGGAAGCCUUUACAUACUUCUACUUAUAGCUGGAAUACUCUAGAAAACAUUAUGUAAGUUUCACCAUUCUACUCAUAGCUACUCACAACUAGAAAGAAAAGGAAAGAAAUACUACACUAGAGUGGAAGCAUCUAGAAGUAGCCAAACAGAUCUGGCAUGUGUUUUCUUUCUUCUCAUCUAGUGUUCCUCAUCAGUUAUGGAACUAGUGCUUUCCUCUGAUGCAUCUUGCACCUUUUUUCUGGAAAUUUCAGGCUUACGGGUUACGGCCUUGCAACUGGAUGACAUACGUCUCUGUUAGCCUUAGUUCCAUUCCUUUAAUGGAUGUUACCUCCACUGCUACUUUUUUUUUCUCGCGACUUAUCUGUGACUGUUGUUUGUAUCAGUUUCGCGGCACCUAGCUACUUGAAAGGAUAUGGUAUGAUUAAAUACAUUAAACAUCAUACUCUGUUUUGCAAUAGGGAUAUUCUGUGUCUUGGUUUGGCAUAUGUGGGAUUGUGUUCCCAUUGUGCAGCUAGGAAGGCAGGCAGCACCGUAGCAGCAGGUCCAGAGUCCAAGUCGAACUCUAACACCUUUUGUUACAAAAGAAAAGUGGUGCGUGCCUACCCAUUCUGAUUUUACCCUUGAGCAAAAUAGACCUGACAUAGCAAACUUUUCUUUAUCCAUCUAAUGUGUAUUGGCCAGUGUGGUGAUGCAUUUUGUUUUGCUUCUGUUGCUGCUACGAUAUGCAUUGUGCAGAAUAUAUCAUCAUUAUAUAUUUUUUAUAUAAAAUAUCAUAUUCUAAUGGUAGGCAUAUGUUCUUUUGGACCACGUUCCAAUGUUGCUUGAUUCUAGUUUAUUUUCUUUUGUUUUAAUUCAGAUGUGAUUCAAGCAACAUUUGCUAUUUUGAAGGGUGAAUUCAGUCAAAGGAAUUCUGUUUCAACGCAUGUAAUUUUUGCCACCCAUACUGCUAAUGGACCAACAGCUUUUGUUCGGUAUCAGCAUUGAACGACUUAGGGCUCCUUUUGAUUCAAAAGAAUUUGACAGGAACUUUGGAGGAUUUGAGUCAGUAGGAUUUGCUUUUCCUUGGGAAUUUUCCCUUCUGCUACAGUUAUUUUGUUUCUCUUAUGAUGUGCUAAACAAUCUUUGAUGUUGAAUUACAUGACACACCAAUGCUUCGCUUUUCCUAUUCUUUUGUGUUGAGUAACCCUGUGGAUCAGAGCCCUUGUGAUUUGGUGAUUGGAUAUGGGUUUGUACAUUUGUCACCUUAGGAUGUAAUUUUGGAUUAAGAUAACUUCAGAAUGUAUGCCUUGUUGUUUAGAAAACAACUUUAGACGAG
rnacentral:lncRNA from 1 species